CUUUCGCAUCUUUCAAUUCUAUUGAAAGUUCUGUGAAAAUUACAUUGAUAAAUAGCUACUACAUAGCCACAUUUAGGUGUGAUUAUAUAAGGUGUGAUGCCUAGUUCUGCUACCACUGAAAUCAAUUUGGAUUCCGAACUGGCUCUUCACGCUACCCGGUCUAGAACAAUAUGAUGUACGUAAAUGCAUGCGCAACACCUACACGAGCAAGUCCUCGCGCUUUACGUCUACAUUUACACGUUUUUGAUUUCUGCCCGAAUCAUCGCAAUUACUAAAAGUGGAUUAUAUUAUCAAUAUAGAAAUUUUUCGAUGUAUUAGUUUUAGACUAUAUGAAUAUAUUUUCCUAACUAUACUAAUAUUAGGGACGCCAAGUAUAUUAAGGUAGACAAAUUUUAAACAAUA